CCAGGUGGUCUUGGGGGGGAUGUGCGGGGUUUCCAUAAAUCGCAUCAGGCGCCGUCGUACGCCGGACCAACGAUGCAUCAUAACAUCAACUAGUUGCUAGAAAGGCGGCGGGGAAAGGAGCAUCCAUACGCGCACGCAAUUAGACCCCCGCCGUGAGAUGCGUCGGUGGCUGUGAGGCAGGUGGGGACAUGCCUGGGAGGCUGAAAGGGCUUCCGGACGCAUAAAUCGCAUCAGGCACCGUCGUACGCCGGACCAACGAUGCAUCAUAUCAUCAACUAGUUACUAGAAAGGCGGCGGGGAAAGGAGCAUCCAUACGCGCACGCAAUUAGACCCCCGCCGUGAGAUGCGUCGGUGGCUGUGAGGCAGGUGGGGACAUGCCUGGAGGCUGAAAGGGCUUCCGGACGCAUAAAUCGCAUCAGGCGCCGUCGUACGCCGGACCAACGAUGCAUCAUAACAUCAACUAGUUGCUAGAAAGGCGGCGGGGAAAGGAGCAUCCAUACGCGCACGCAAU
rnacentral:lncRNA from 1 species